CUCCAUGCUAUUGUCAAAUACAGUGUUGUUUUAAAAAUCAUAGGAAUGUAAUUGCAGAUAAAAGCAGGCUGGGUAGGGCAGGGAACAUCCUAUCAAGUCGUAUUUGCAGGACUUGGCUUGAGAACAGCCCAGAGUGGUCCAGCUCUGGUGUCAUGCCAUAAGAGCAGACUUACUGCAAGCUCCAUCCUUUGUUAAAGGAGGCAUUUAAAACCAGCUACAAUGGUUUUGUUUUGCUUUAAUCAUUAAUCAAAGGCAAAUAAAAUGCAAUGAAGGAAAGCAAGCGCGCGCACCAUCGCACAAAUACAAGCAGGUAUUUGAAACGCAGGCCAGGUUACCAUGGCCAAUUCGGGGGAAUGGAAGUGGGGAGAGGGAGGAAAGGAGCUUGGAAAGCAAAACUUUGCUUUUAUUGGGGGAUUGCAUUCACAGCAGAGAUUUCCACGUUUUUACUUCACAUGAGCAAAAAAUAUCAUUGUCUCUGCAGAAGGUGGCUUGACACGUUACAGUAUGGGAUGAGGUGGUUUGAGCUGUGAGGUUUUAGACACAUUUGUGCUGGAAAAAUUCCUGAGACUACCUCCCCAAGUCUCUUUUUUUCUAUAGGCACUAAUUUUCCUGUGUCACUGCAGUCUAGCUUACUCAGCAGUACACUGCUGCAAGUUUGUUUUAUUUGCAAGGAGUACAUCAGCACUGAAGGCAAACCUCACUGGCAAAGCUGACAGUGUGCUCCUCUAAAAACCAAAGGACUUGAUGAAGAAGGAGGGAGUCCAGGCUGGUCUCCUAGGUUUUAUAACAGUCAGUCCUGAAAACUGAAAGUGAGAUCUAAAAGAAGAAUUAGCGAGGGGGAGGGAAAACAGCUUGUUUCAUCGAUUCUUAGAUUUGUAGAUUAUGGCUAUUAGUAAAAAUGACAGCACCUCUAGUCAAUGGGGUACAGGCUCAAAGCCUAUUAAUGCACUACAAGUAACAUGAUCUGGGGAUAUGAAAAGAGAAAAAUCACAGUGUGAGAUUUAAAUCCUAGUUUCGACUUUGAAAGCCGCUGUUUCAAGAGGGAGAAGUCCAAUACUCCCCAUUCACAUGUUAAUUCACUUGUUUCAACAAACUGCUAUUCUCCUUCACCUCUUCACAUUAGCAUAAAAUGAGAAGCUUGAAUCUGCAUUUUUCAAAAGACGACCAGAUUUCAAAAUUUCCAAAAUGGAACUACUCGGCGAUGGUUCAUACAUUCUAAAUGCCAGAGUAUUGUAAACGCAAUACUCAUUUGCCUCCUGCAUCCAGAAUGUAAUUUCCAUUUUUAUUUUAAUCGCUAGUGAUCCAUUGUUCCAAGUUUCUUUAAAUAAAUGUCCCCCACUGCUGCCCAUAGCUUCUGCAGAAACAGUUUUGAAUAUUUUGCAGGCAAAAAUAGCAGAAGUGUUGAAAUUCAUACCAUUCCUCUCCAGAGUAGAUGACUGAUGAAAUGCAUAUAUCCAAGCCAGAAAUAAAUAGCAAAUGAGAUUAUCCUUAUAUUGAUUUCUCUGCAUUACAUUCUGAUUAACCAGCAAAUCAAAGACUUUUUUUUCCACCUGCUCCACCAAGAUCACAUUCUUCAUUCUCUGCAUGUGCAGCUUCUCGUAGGUAAGUGCUUCUUUAAUUUAUCUGAUACCUGGAGGCUUUUCUGCUCUGCUGUUCAAAAUGCCUGGUCUUCCUGUCUAUCUGAACUUUCAAAAACUGGAUUCUAAUAUUCUCUUUGUUCUUCUCAAAAGACUCCACCACAAAAUUUGUUGCUCAGAUCUUUUACAGCCUAUUUCAAAACCAACAGUCUUGCUGAAAGCAUUCUGGUGGACUUGGUCCCUCUUAAUGUGUUAAUGCAACCCCCAGGACAAUCUGUCUGAGCCUGUGGGACAUUUUCUAUCACUAUAUGAUUUUUUUCAGAAAUCAAAACUAGUGUGUUUAUCUGAUAGAUUGUGAUAUAAUCAGUGGUUAGUUCAAGGACUCUGUUGCUGGUGUUAUGACAAGCUGUCUAGCCUGAAGUUCAUGAUGGUACCAAAAUAUCCAGAGCCAGUAGUCUAACCUGCCUUAAUCAUAAUUUAACCCCCCUAGUGUUAAUUAUCACUAUGACACCAGUUUAGGUGUCACAACUAAGAGCAAUAUUAUGCCUUUACCCACAUUCUGGUGGGAAUGUGUAGCUAAUUUUCAAAUGCUAAACACCAGCCCAGAUGUUCAGCUGCCAGUGACCCAAGGCUUGUUUUUGUGGUGGCACAGCUGUAAUGCCAUGGCUGAGUUUUACUCAGAAAGUUGUUGUCCAGAUGAUGCAAGAAAGAAUGUAAACCAUGUUAAAGUAAGUUCAGAGGCAGAAGUGAAAUUGUAGAGGCAGUAAUGGUUAGUUGGAAAAUACUGAGGAAGGGCAGAAGUUGCAACACCCUCAGAAAGAAGGCAGAGACUCAGCAGACAGCAUGGUGGCCAGAUGAGCAAUCGUGGCCCUCUCCAAAGAGGCAUGGGAGUGAAAACUCCCCUCUUGACCAACAGCUGCCUGCCUGCCCACCCAGCAAUAGCUGAAGUAGCCUGUAUUUAAGUACUUAUGUCAUAGUUAACACUUGAGUAAUACUUAGCUGAGUAGCCUGUUAGUUGUACCUGUCUCAUGUGUGUGUUAGUUGAUACAAACAACUGUGGUUGUUGCUGUGUGGUUUUAACCCUUGUGCUCUUUUGGCAUAGUACAAGGUGCCCAACAAACAAUGACCCAUUGAGAAGAGAUUGCAGGUGUGAGCACUAGUCCUGGCUCUCUCCCUCUGUCCCAGUCAUUUCUUCUUCCGACACAGUCAGACUUCAAGGCAUGAAGUUGCCAGAUACCACCAACUAAAAUGGAGAAGGAUAAUAUUAAUCACUAGAUGAUAUUGCUGUCUAACAGAAGGUGUUGCUGUAAUGUGAAGAAUUUUUUUCCAGGAGUAAGUGGUAUCAGCAGGCUCUCCCUAACCAUAUUUAAAGAGAGACUAAGCUAGGACAUCAAAUUCAGACAGUGCUUCUUUAACCAGAAGAAGGAAGGAAUAGGCUCUGACUAGAGGGGACAUUGAGCUUGGAUUUUAUACAUCCUGUUUCAAAUCAGAAUGAUAAAGUGAAAAACAGCAAGAUUGAAAACAGCUACCCUGCGUGACUGAAUUCUCCUAGAUGGGAAAUUGCAGUGUGCCUUUGAAAUGCUUCAACCCAUAGGCAUCAUAGACUGUGGGAUAGGGCAGGGGGAUAUGUUACUUCUCUGUAUAAAAUAGAAUUUUUCCUGUGUCUGGUACCACAUCCAUCAACACUGCAGAACAACAAAUCCCUGGGACAGUCAUGACUGGUUCUUCAUACAAGGGCAAGGAGAAAGGAGGAGAGAAAAAUAUCCCAUAGUAGGCACUAUUAAUUCUCACUAAUCAAUGGCAAAAUUCUUGAAAAGCUUAAUUUAAAGGAAACAACAUACAGUAUACAGAGAUCCCUGAUGGACAAAUUCAAGGACUGCUCCUACAUGAAGUCUGGGGAAAAUUUCACGUUAAACAUCAGGAACAGUAUUUCCACCUACAUUUGGCCAGUAUAGUUGCACCAUAGGGCUAUGUCUGUACAGUGCAGGUGUUUGCUUUGAGGACUUGGUAUCUCCAUUGUUCACAUUUUGGACUAGCUCUAGGCUUCCCACAGUAGACAUCCCACUGGAGUGCUCAGAGAUCAGCCCCCUGGGCAGCCCAAGGCAUCAUUAGAAACACGAUUAGGAGAUUUGCUUCACACACACUAAUCCAAUUUAAAGCGUUACUGUAUACACACCCAGACUGACAAGCUGUAAAAAUGCAUCCCUGAAGAGUUGUCUGCUUUGUGCCUGGCAGGCAAUGGACUUCAACACAAGCUGGAGAACCAGCCCCAGGUCCCAGCACUAUGUCUUCACGUGGAGGGCAGGGUGCAAGAACUGCACGUGUAUAUAGACAUCUCCAUGUGCAAUUAACUGUCCUGUGUUGUCAGGGAUGAAGGUCAGAGCAAAAGGUGAUAAAGUAAUCUCACUGAAUUUGUGAUUAUUGCAACACACAGGUGUACUGUACAGUAAAGGACGUGGAGUCCCACCUGGCAGGACUAAUACAAUAGGAUCUGAACAAGAACUGAAAUUUCUGCCCAUCACCUGGUUUGAUUUACAUUUUGCCUCUACAGGGAUGGUUAGAAGAUCAAUACCCGGGAGGGGAUGCACCAUGCAUUAUUUCUCCCCAAAUAAAUCACAGAUCCCCUAAUCUUCCAGCUGUGCGACCGCUGAUGGAGUGGCCACCAGGAUCGUAUCACUGUUUGCAGACGUUCCUCAAAGCAACUGAAACGAGACAUUCUCCAAAGUUAAAGACGGCAAGAUUAAUUUAUUAACUAUAACCAAAGGCAAAGAAAUCGAGCAUUGCGUGCUAAUAAUAAAUUGUAAGCAUACCAGUGAAGGCAGGAAACUGCAAUAAAAAUACGGUAGACACAGAACGAGACUGUGCGUCAAAGGAGUCCCUGUCGCCCGUGGGAAAAGCUCUCCGCUGCACCGCAGCACCUGUGGAGCAGGGUCAGGAGCGCGGUGAGUUGUUUAAGUGUGCCAUCUAGUGACUGAGGACUGCCCAUGGGCACGCACAAACAGCGCCUUCGUGUAAGAAUUCCUCGCGUUUCUCUGCUUCAGAACAUCUGUAUGUUACUGCAGUUGCUGGUAAUCUGGUUACUGGAGAAGGUAAGAGUUCAGCCUCUAGAGUCGACUUAUUCUCAGGUGGAGUCACUGAGCAUUCAACAGUGAUAAUCUGUAAUCUGUGAAAUAACUGCCUUACCCUGUGGGUGCCACAGUCAAUUCCUCAUUUGUGAAGAAAUGUGGAAAUGGGAGGGAAGGGGUAUGGAGGUGUGACACAUAAUUAUUUUAUCAUACUCCUUUUUUUUUUUUGGUUCCUUUUUAACCAGAGUGGAGAAUUAUCUCAAAUACAGUGAUUUUGACUUCAUGAGCAGGAUGAAGUUCCUUCUCAAGGUAUAGCACUAAAGACCCUGGAGAAACCAUAGAAUAAAAAGAAAUUAAAUGGGUAUGAACUGUAUUUCCCAUCAUAGCAAAAGAGGCUGAAGUUUGUGUUUGUGCCAUCCCACUGAUGUUGUGCUGAAACCGCUGAGGCUGCUGGGGAAUUCCAGCUGCAAUCCUUGAUGACUGGCACUCCUUCACUGACACUUCUCUGGUAGCUCCCCUUCCCUUGCUCUGUUGGUACCUUCUGCACAGGCAAGUUAAAAAGCUAAAUAUGUUAGCUGCAAAAAACUAAUCGAGUUGAUUUAGCUCCUACUGAUGUAUAGAACCACCAAACAGUGGACCAAACAAGCUUUUCUUGGGGAGAUACACAAUGCAGAUUUUACACAUAAGGAAAAAAAAAGGCAUUUUGCUCCUUGAGAGCACUACGGGGAAUGCUUAACAUAUUUUCCAUGAGAAAUACUUUGUUUUUCUGAUAAUUAUUUUCACAACUAAAAAAUUCACAUCUGUCAUAAUAUGACCUUUGUUGUGCUCUAGAAAAGCAAGAUGGGUAUUGAUUAUCUGAAAAAAAAAAUAUUGUUUGAAAGACAGGACAGUGUAGAAUACAGACCUAUGUGUUCUUCCACCUGCAAUACAGGAAAUACAGGAGGAGACACAAGAGCCAGGGGAAACACCACAUUGCAUAUACUUGCCAUUUUCAACCAUUACUGAUAGCUGGAAAAGAGAAAAAACCCUGCAAGUGCCUCAGGGAUGGGGACAGCUGUUGCACAUUGCUAAAAAGUCAGCUUGUAGCUUCCCAGGACUACAGGACAGAUAGGGGAGAUAGUAGGCCAAAUUUUACUAAUCAUCUCCCAUGGCAAUUUUUUUAAUGUUACACAACUGCAGGGGUUCUUCACCAGCUUCAGGUGGCUGAGGAAUGCAGUCAGAAGAUGUGAAAAUUUGAAAGUAAUUAAUGACGUGAUUUUAAUGAAAAACCAAACAGUCACUCUUGUCUCGCUUCUCCUUAGGAGAGGGUUUCAACAGAGAUUGCCUGCUCAUGUGGAGGGAAAGCAGCAGUACCAAGUCUCCUCUCAGCUACAAAAGUUUACAGAGAGGAUUUGCAAUAGCGUCAGGGAAAUCUCUUUAGACUGUUGGUGGAAAUCCAGCUUGAGGAUGGGAUAAGAGACCACUAUUAGCUUCCAGAAGCUGGCUGAUUUUCUGACACAUAAAUUAUACUGACAGCAAAGACUAUUGUGACCUCACAGCUUCUUACCUGAGGGCUAAGAGCUGCCUUGGGUCCUCAGCAGGCAGCCAAACAAGGUAGCAUUUCACAAGGAGGCUUUGUCAGACAUGCCCUGUUUUGGUGGUAAGGGCUCUUCUCUCCAGGCAAUUUAUGGGAAGGAGACUGUGAUUUUUGGGCCUUCAAUAAGACAAUUUCAAAGGGAGGAAGAAGCAUGAAAGAAGGGGUUGCCCGGUAGAAAGCAGCACGUAACCUAAAGAAUAAGAGAAGAAGAAAGAAACUGUUUGUUGAGCUUUAUCUACUUAAAGUUAUCCACAGACAGGCAACAGGCAGGACUUGGUCUGGCAGAUGACCCAACAGCUUUGAUCUUCCUUGCUUAUGCAGUGUGGGUUCUUCAGCAACUCCCAAGGCAGCUGGCACUGCAGAAAAAAAUAACCCCUGAGUUGCCAGGUGUGUCUUUUGUAACACAAUAGCUGCUCAGUAAGAACCAGAGGGAAAUGGCCAAUGUAUUUCUUGUGAAAUAAUGGUUACUUGACUAGAGCUUGAAAUUUGACCUUUUUUGGAAGUAAAAGAUAAGGUAUAUAGGGAAAAUAAAUAGUUUCUCAAAAAUAA